AGCUGGCCUCCAGGGGCAUGUGCACACCCUGAUCACAUCCACCUCCCACACCUGUGCACCACCUGUAGCUUGGGAUGAUCACGGGGCCCUGAUGGGCAACGAAGGCCCUCGUCUAUGAAUAUUUUCACACACGCUCAAAGUAUGACAGAAUGUAUAUCAUAUUGCGUCUGAUAAACGUGACAAAUACAACUUUCAACAACGGAUCUCUUGGCUCUCGCAUCGAUGAAGAACGCAGCGAAAUGCGAUAAGUAAUGUGAAUUGCAGAAUUCAGUGAAUCAUCGAAUCUUUGAACGCACCUUGCGCUCCUUGGUAUUCCGAGGAGCAUGCCUGUUUGAGUGUCAUGAAAUUCUCAACUGCCUCAGGCUUUGUUGCUUGCGGGUGAAGUUGGACUUGGAGGUAUGCUGGCGCAUGAAUGGGCUUUGUGCCUGUCUUGCUUGUUGGCUCCUCUCGAAUGCAUGAGCUUUCCAAUCCUUGGAAAGUAUCGUCGAUGUGAUAAUUG
rnacentral:rRNA from 1 species